rnacentral:lncRNA from 10 species
UGACCUUUGACAGCCGUCUUCUGGCCUUCUGAGAUAAGGGAACUGUGUCACUGCCGCUCUGAGUGGUAGCAAGGAAGUGAUGUCAAGGUGCUGAGAACUGCCAAGACGCUCUGGCUUGUGGCAUGUGACACUCUGAGUAGGUAACAGGUACCAGCUACUGUCAGCAGGGAGGAAGGUAUGUGGUGACCACGAGUCCAGACCUGAGGGUCCUGACCCUCUAAUGCGGCCUCUCACCAGUGUUCGCAGAAACCCACCCGCUGAUUCAAUACGGGGACCAGGAACCUGCCAUGACAGUCACGACUCAGUCUGCCUGCACCUACAUGAUUAAAAAGCUUUAUUGCUCACACAAAGCCUGUUUGGUGGUCUCUUCAUAUGGAUGCGCAUAACAUUUGGUGCCGAAGACCCCGGACAGGGUGACUCCUUCGGGAGAUUGGUCCCCUCUCCUCACCCUCACUCCAUGAGAAGAUCCACCUACGACCUCAGGUCCUCAGACCAGCCCAAGGAACAUCUCACCAAUUUCAAACCGGGCUUCCCUCUUGUCUGGAGGAAAAAGAAAAAAGAGAACCAGACUUAGACACAACUUCUUGUGGGCACAUAUUCAGAAGGCAUCUCACUGGAGAGGGUUUAGUUCUCCUUAGCAGAAGAUAAGAUUUCAAGAUUUCAGCUAAGACUCAUCUCUCUGCAAAUCUUUCUUUUGAGAGCAUCUUCACCAGGAGGAGAUUCCAUCUCAAGAGACCACUUUCACUGCUCAUAUGUAAGAAGCAACUCUUCAUCUGUUCAAGUUUGAUCAUGAGAGUGCGGCAAUUCAGUCACAACUUCAGGCUCCACUUCUAGUUCUAGUUCUCUUGCUGUUUCCACCACAUCUACAGCGACUUCCUCCACUGAAGACGUGAACCCCUGAAAGUCAUCUAUGGGGGUUGGAAUCAAUGUCUUUCACACUCCUGUUAAUGUUGGUAUUUUGACCUCCUCCCAUGAAUUACAAAUGUUCCUAAUGGCAUCUAGAAUAAUGACUACUUUCCAGAAGCUUUUCAAUUUGCUUUGCUCAGAUCCAUCAAUGGAAUCACUAUCAAUGGUAGCUAUAUAAACUAUAUAAGGCUAUAUAUAUAUAUAUAGCUAUUUCUUAAUAGCCUUAUGAAAUAUAUUUCUUAAUAAGACUUGAAAGUCUUGGUCCAUGGACUGCAGAAUGGAUGUUUGUGUUAGCAGGGAUGAAAACAACAUGAAUAUUCUCGUACAUCUCCAACACAGCUCUUGAUCGACAUGGUGCAGAGCAGUAAUAUUUUGAAAGGAAUCUUUUUUUCUGAGCAAUAGUUCUCAAUAGUGGGCUUGAAAUAUUCAGUAAACCAUGCUGUAAACAGAUGUGUUGUCAUCCAGGCUUUAUUGUUCCAUUUAUGGAGCACAGAUAGAGUAGAUUUCGCAUAAUUCUUAAUGACACCAGGAUUUACAAAAUAGUAAAUGAACAUUUACUUCAACUUAAAGUCAUCAGCUGCAUUCACCUCUAAAAAGAGAGUCAGCCUGUCCUGUGGAGCUUUGCAGCUUGCCUUGACAUCUCCUCUCUAGCUGUGAAAGUCCUGGAUGGCAUCUUCUUCCAACAUAAGACUGUUUUGUCUACACUGAAAAUCUGUUGUUUCGUGUAGACACUUUCAUCAAUUAUCUUAUCUAGAUUUUCUGGAUAACUUGCCACAGCUUCUCCCUUUGCACUUGCUGCUUCAUCUUGCAUUUUUAUGUUAUGGAGAUGUUGUCUUU